rnacentral:rRNA from 1 species
AGUGAACGCUGGCGGUAGGCCUAACACAUGCAAGUCGAACGGCAGCACAGCAGUAGCAAUACUGUGGGUGGCGAGUGGCGGACGGGUGAGGAAUACAUCGGAAUCUACCUUUUCGUGGGGGAUAACGUAGGGAAACUUACGCUAAUACCGCAUAGACCUCGGUGAAAGUGGGGACCGUCGACGCCUCACGCGAUAGAUGA